UGUAGCAUUUAAAUUCAACAGACUGUUGACUUUUUACGAAUUAUCUUUAAACAGUGCAAUUUAAUCCUUAAAACACCUAUUUCUAUUUAAAAAAUUCCGAGUGAGCAGCCGACCUGUGCGGACGUAUUUGUGCAGUGAAGUAGCGACGAGUGAACGUGAAGUGGAAGCCCCACACACCAGCCCGGUUAAAACGGAUUUCUUUUGCUAUAUUUCGACUUGGUAUCAAGAUGAAAUUCUUCAGUUUAAUUUUCCUCAUCCUUUUC